GGGUGUGCGCCGAAGUGAGAGAGUCGGACUGGUUUGUAAAACCGGUGCCUUAGCGCUGAGUAGGUGCGAAUCCUACCACACCCACCA
rnacentral:tRNA from 1 species